GACAGAGGGUGCAAACGUUGUUCGGAAUCACUGGGCAUAAAGCGCACGUAGGCGGUCCACUAAGUCAGGUGUGAAAGCCCCCGGCUCAACCGGGGAAUUGCACUUGAUACUGGUGGGCUCGAGGAUGAGAUGGGUAGGCGGAACUUCAGGUGGAGCGGUGAAAUGCGUAGAUAUCUGGAGGAACACCGGUGGCGAAGGCGGCAUCCUGGACCGGUAUUGACGCUGAUGCGCGAAAGCCAGGGGAGCAAACGGG
rnacentral:rRNA from 1 species